CGGGACCGGGGGCACCGGUGACACCGCCGGUUCCGACGGCGACGGCGCCGGGGGGAGCGGAGACGGCGCCGGUUCCGGUUCCGGCGGGUCCGCC
rnacentral:tRNA from 1 species